GUCUGUGCCGCUGUGCUGUGCUGUUCUGUGCUGUGCUGUAUAGUGUAUAUAGCUCUGUGUAUCUCUAUCUGUGUGUUUUGUGUUGUAGUAUUUUUUCGAAGGCAUUUUGCAGAACUGUUUAACAUCACAGUCAGUCUUUAGUGGUACUUCGCGCUUCUUGCUGGUGCACGUACCUACGUUCGCUAUAAUAUUACUAGCAAUACAAUACAAACAUCAAAAGUCUGUAGACAAAAAAAAAAACGCAACGUACGUUCGUGUUUAAAUAGUAACCGAAUAAAUAAGCAACCGUUUAAUCAAUCGAUUUGUAAAAAGUAAAGUAAAAAAAUAUAUAAUAAACACAAUACAAUUGUUUAAUGAAAAAAAAAUAUGUAAAAGACCGUCGCUUUUUAACAUUUUUGUGGUGUUAACGGACAAAUAAGUUAAAUUUGAAAAAAAAAGAAAAAAAUCAAAAUUAAAACUUACACACAGCAAUGUAAAUCUCAAAAAAAAAAUUUUUGGGUGUUACAUUUAAACAACUACAACGACAACAAUAACAAACAACUAAUACAAUGUUAUUUUAAUAGUAUAUACAUGUAAUAGUUAUAAUACACAUGUUUGUAUGUAUGUUUGUAUAAAAACCCUCAAACGCACCCAAUACAAACAAUUCAUACAAUAAAGGUGUGGUUUAGCAAGACAAACAAAUAUAUAAGUUUUUAAAGCAAAAAGAAAAAAAUCUAUAAUAAAUAUAAUAAA